UACGUAGGGGGCAAGCGUUGUCCGGAAUCAUUGGGCGUAAAGAGCGCGUAGGCGGCCCUGUAAGUCCGCUGUGAAAGUCAAGGGCUCAACCCUUGAAUGCCGGUGGAUACUGCAGGGCUAGAGUCCGGAAGAGGCGAGUGGAAUUCCUGGUGUAGCGGUGAAAUGCGCAGAUAUCAGGGGGAACACCGAUGGCGAAGGCAGCUCGCUGGGACGGUACUGACGCUGAGGCGCGAAAGCGUGGGGAGCAAACAGG
rnacentral:rRNA from 1 species